rnacentral:sRNA from 1 species
GCUGGGUGUGGUGGCACACACCUGUAAUCCCAGCAGCUGGGAAGGCUGAGGUGGAGGAUCGUGAGUUCAAAGCCAGUCUCAGCAUUUAGUGAGACUCUGUCUCUA